CCUACGGGUGGCAGCAGUGAGGAAUAUUGGUCAAUGGCCGGAAGGCUGAACCAGCCAUGCCGCGUGAAGGUCAGUGCCCUAUGGGCGUUAAACUUCUUUUGUGCGGGAGCAAUAAUGGUCACGUGUGGCCAGACGAGAGUACCGUACGAAUCAGCAUCGGCUAACUCCGUGCCAGCAGCCGCGGUAAUACGGGGGAUGCAAGCGUUAUCCGGAUUUAUUGGGUUUAAAGGGUGCGUAGGCUGUGAGGUAAGUCAGCGGUGAAAUGCCCCCGCUCAACGGGGUGAAGUGACAUUGAUACUGCCUGGCUGGAAUGCGGAUGCCGUGGGAGGAAUGUGUGGUGUAGCGGUGAAAUGCAUAGAUAUCACACAGAACACCGAUUGCGAAGGCAUCUCACGAAUCCGCGAUUGACGCUGAUGCACGAAAGCGUGGGUAUCAAACAGGAUUAGAUACCCUUGUAGUC
rnacentral:rRNA from 1 species